rnacentral:tRNA from 1 species
GCCUGGGUGGCUCAGUCAGUUGGGCGUCUGACUUCGGGUCAGGUCAUGAUUUCAUGGGUUGUGGGUUUGAGCCCCGCGUCGGGCU